rnacentral:rRNA from 1 species
GACGAACGCUGGCGGCGUGCUUAACACAUGCAAGUCGAACGGAAAGGCCCUGCUUGCAGGGUGCUCGAGUGGCGAACGGGUGAGUAACACGUGGGUGAUCUGCCCCUUACUUUGGGAUAAGCCUGGGAAACUGGGUCUAAUACUGGAUAGGACCAUGCUGUAGGUGGUGUGGUGGAAAGAUUAGUUUCGGUAAGGGAUGAGCUCGCGGCCUAUCAGCUUGUUGGUGGGGUAAUGGCCUACCAAGGCGUCGACGGGUAGCCGGCCUGAGAGGGUGGACGGCCACAUUGGGACUGAGAUACGGCCCAGACUCCUACGGGAGGCAGCAGAGGGGAAUAUUGCACAAUGGGCGCAAGCCUGAUGCAGCGACGCCGCGUGGGGGAUGACGGCCUUCGGGUUGUAAACUCCUUGCAGCCAUGACGAAGCCCUUGUGGUGACGGUAGUGGUAGAAGAAGCACCGGCUAACUACGUG